UAUCUGGUUGAUCCUGCCAGUAGUAAAUUGCUAUGUCUUCAAACGGAUUAAGCCAUGCAUGUCUAAGUACAAACCUUAACGGUGAACGCGAAUGGCUCAUUAAUCAGCUAUGGUUCCUUAAGAUCGUCUCAUCCUACUCGGAUAACUGUCGGAAAAUCUAGAGUAAUUACUGCUUACAGCCCCUGACCUCACGGGAGGGGCCGCGAUUUAUU
rnacentral:ncRNA from 1 species